rnacentral:rRNA from 1 species
GUAUAGGUUUUAUUAUUAUUAAUAAAUUAUUAUUAAAUAAUUGUAUUUAAAUAUACAGCCACAGAAGGUGCCAGCCCUGUUAUUUAAUAAUAUUUAUUAAAUUUAUAAAACUUUAGAGUCGUGUUGCUUGGAAGUGCAGCACAAAGUUGGUGAUAAACAUCAUCUAAGGCUAAAUAUUCCUAUGAAUCCGAUAGCGAACAAGUACUGUGAAGGAAAAUUGCAAAGUACUCCGGAGAGAGAGUUAAAGAGGACGUGAAACCGAUACGAUGGAAGCAUACAGAGCCAGUUGCACUAUUAUUAAUAAUUUUUUUUAUUAAUAAUUUUAAGCAUGGGUAUAUUGAUUAUUAAUUAGUUAUUUAUUAAAGAGUGAUAAAAUUUUUUAAAUUUUGUUAACUUUAAUAAAAUAAUUAUAUUUAUAAUUAAUAUUAUUUAUUAUUAAUGUAUUAAUAAUAUUUUAAUUAUUAAUAUAAUAUAAGACACAUGUGUUAAAUAUUAUUUAUUAAUAAUUAUUAUAUUAUUAUAAGUUAAUAA